rnacentral:rRNA from 1 species
AACGCGAAGAACCUUACCGGGGCUUGACAUCGGAGGACAACUCUAGAAAUAGAGCUUAGGGGCAACCCUACUUCCAGACAGGUGCUGCAUGGCUGUCGUCAGCUCGUGCCGUGAGGUGUUGGGUUAAGUCCCGCAACGAGCGCAACCCUCGUCGUGUGUUGGUCCACAAGAUCUCUCACACGAGACCGCCGGUGAGAAGCCGGAGGAAGGUGGGGAUGACGUCAAGUCAGCAUGGCCCUUACGUCCCGGGCUACACACGUGCUACAAUGCGCCGAACAACGAGCUGCGAACCCGCGAGGGUAAGCCAAUCUCUUAAAUCGGCGCUCAGUUCGGAUUGAAGGCUGCAACUCGCCUUCAUGAAGUCGGAAUCGCUAGUAAACGCAGAUCAGCUACGCUGCGUUGAAUACGUUCCCGGGCCUUGUACACACCGAUAGC